rnacentral:lncRNA from 1 species
AGGACUUUUACAAGAACAGAGGAGGCUCAUAAGAGUCAUCUCGAGGCACCUCAGAUCUGAAAUCCUCCAGGAUUUUGAAGUCCUCUGCAUCCGGGCAGUGGAACAGAAGUGUGGAGAAGAUUCAUCAUCUGCUUCUUAAAUGCCCUAGUCAGAAAGGGGUACUCAUCAUUUCUGUUCAUAUUUUAUACGGCUACAAAUAGAUGUGAGAAGAGCAAGAAAACAUAGUCCUGGCAAGGCAGUUGCCUUCUGAUGACAACUCUGCACUCUGGAGGUAGACAAAUUUUGGUCAAUAGCUGGCAGUUUUAGCCAUAUUAGUCCAGUACUCACCUUCACAAAUGAGGAAACUUAAGACUCGGCCAUUGUUGAUCUAACACAUACUUACUGUUUUUUAUUGUGUUUUCUUGAUCUAAUGGUAUUUUGAAACACAAUGGGUAGGACUAAAAUAUGGACCAUUUGAAAGGAGGAAAUGUUAGAUUAUUAUACUAGGCAAAUAAUGUUGCCAAUAUAUUUGCACAAUUAUGGGACAUAGACUUUCAUUUUCCUGUUUAAAAUAAGUAUGUAGUAUUAAAGAAUUAACAUAAAAUAUGGCAUUAUUAAGAAGAUCUAUGAUUUUGGUGCCUGGUCCUUAUUUAGGAGUUUAGCACCCUGGUUACAUAUAUCAUAAUAAUGAAAAAGCAUUAUUCUGUUUUAUGCUGCCUGCAGAAAAAAAAAGGAUGAAAAAUAGAUACUGUCUGUGCAGUAUGAGCCACAGUAUAAAUGUGCAGAAUAUGAUCUAAGUGGAGGAUAAUAAAAAUUUUGAAAGCAGUAUUUGCAAAACUUGUUCCAAACUUCCUCAUUAAUCAGCACAAAUAUUUUUCUAAGUAUACAUUGGAAGGCCUUUGCACUUAACUCAAUUAUUGAAGUAGUAGGAAAAUUAUGCUCUACUGUGUAUAAAAUAUUUCUAAGCUAUUCAAAGAAGACACUACAAAGAUAUUUAAAGAAGAUACUAUAAUAUAGAAAAACACUUCAUGCAGAUGUAUCAAUUAUUAGUAUCUCAUCACUGUAUGGCGUUCUUAACUAAGUUGAAAUUGUUUUCAAAUACUGGUUGAAUAAGUGAAGAAGGAAAAUUGUAUUGUGUUAACAGAAAUAUGUGUUCAUUCACCCACCCACUGAACACCUAUUUUGUGCCAGACGUUGUUCUGGACACUAGGGAUCCAGCAGGGAAUAAAAUACAUGAGUUUCCCACUUGCUUAUUUUUCCCUUACUUUACAAACCUGGAACUCUUUAAACAACAAACUGAAAAACACCACACAAAAUUAGGCAGCUAUCUUUGAAGAGUGAAUUUGCUUGGAAUUGCCUGCUUUGAGCAUCAUAAGUUUGAUGAGGUAUGAAGCAAAAAUACAGAUGUACAACAUUAAUUAAAAUAACCAGCAAUUCCACCAGAGGAUUCCAAAAGGGAUUUAAAGACUCACCCUGCCAGAACAGAGACGGAGCCAGAAAAGGGUGAUGAAGCAGAUUUACAAGACCGGCUCUCAGAAAAUUUGCUUGGACAUGCAGAACCAUGCUUUCAAGUACUAUUGUUACCAACGCGAAUCUGCAGCGAAAGUGAUCCUUGCCUCUCUGGAGGACAGAAUUUGGCUGAGGGGCAGAAGUAUGUUUAAGGCAGAGGGAGAGACUGAGGCAAGUUUUAGAGCAAAAGUGAGAGUUUAUUAAAAAGUUUUAGAGCCUGAGUGAAAGGAAGCAAAGCACACUUGGAAGAGGGUCAAGUGGGUUCCUUGAGAGAUCCAAGUGCCCCGUCCAACCUUUGGCUUGGGAUUUUAAUACAUUGGCUUGGUUCCGGGAUUUGAGUUUCUCCUCCCUUGAUUUCUCCCUUGCGGCAGGCUGUCCACAGGCACAGUGGCCCGCCAGCACUUGGGAAGGGGUGCAUACACAGUGUGUUUACUGAAGUUGUGUGCAUGCUCACUUGAGGUGUUUUUCCCCUCAUUAGACAAAAAUUCCCAGAGGAAGGUUAUAUACCAGUUAAACUUUGCCAUUUUGCCUCUUAGUGCAUGCUUGAGCCCACUAGCCCAAUCCCUGAGAUCUUAUCGGGAAGCUGCUGCUCCUCCACAGCUCCAGGAGUUUCCUAUUUAUUGGGAGACUGUCGGUCCCUAGUACCAGCUGUGACCAAUUAUAAUUUCAGAGACACAGUUUAACAACCACCUGACCAUUACCUGAUGGUCCCCUGAAGUUCUCUGGGGUUGGGAGAGGCUCUCCUGCCUGGCUCAUGUCUGCCUAACUACCUACUCUAACAUUAUGACUUGGAGAAAUACUUAUUGGGGACUUUUAAAAAACUGCAGAGUAUCAUAAGACUUUUGGCUAUGAGGAUUUACCAGUUGCAGAAUAAAGAAUUUUAAAAUAAUUUGUCUUUGAAGAUAUUACCUUCUGAUAUAUUGCAAGUAAGGUAUUGAGAAGUCAAUAGGGUUUGGUGCCAGGUUUCUGAUGGAGAAUUUGAAGAUACGUGUUUACAUUUCUAUAAAGUAAAUUUGACUGUCUGAGUCACAUAUAUCUUGGUCAUAAUUCACAAUUAUUAGGAAAUUUGAAAAUAAUUUUUUUAACAAAAGCAAAUUUGAGAAAGUCUAUUUUUAAAGUUGCUAAAAUAAGGGGCUCAGUAUAUUUUUAGUAAUUGGAAGACUGGUUGAUUGAGAAAUACAAAUUUUUCAGUAAAAAUGUAUUUUCU